UAAUCUUUCUAAACAUCGUGCAUCCUUUC
rnacentral:piRNA from 1 species